rnacentral:rRNA from 1 species
GACGAACGCUGGCGGCGUGCCUAAUACAUGCAAGUAGAACGCACAGUUUAUACCUUAGCUUGCUACACCAUAGACUGUGAGUUGCGAACGGGUGAGUAACGCGUAGCUAACCUGCCUGGUAGCGGGGGAUAACUAUUGGAAACGAUAGCUAAUACCGCAUCAUAUUAAUUAUUGCAUGAUAAUUAAUUGAAAGGUGCAAUUGCACCACUACCAGAUGGACCUGCGUUGUAUUAGCUAGUAGGUGAGGUAACGGCUCACCUAGGCGACGAUACAUAGCCGACCUGAGAGGGUGAUCGGCCACACUGGGACUGAGACACGGCCCAGACUCCUACGGGAGGCAGCAGUAGGGAAUCUUCGGCAAUGGACGAAAGUCUGACCGAGCAACGCCGCGUGAGUGAAGAAGGUUGUCGGAUCGUAAAGCUCUGUUGUAAGAGAAGAACGGGUGUGAGAGUGGAAAGUUCACACUGUGACGGUAUCUUACCAGAAAGGGACGGCUAACUACGUG